UUCUUGCUGCUCGCUUUUCCCGAUAAUAUAUUGGCUCAAACUGUGCGCAGUAUGACCGCCUGUUCGAUUCAGUGAAUUCCCGAGACCAGUUCCGACAGCGCCACCUACACUAGGAGAACAUACAGAUCACGUGAUAAAGGACUUGUUACAAUUAGGGUCGGAUGAAAUAGAUCAACUUAGAAAAGAAGGUGUUAUACAAUGAGAAAUUUUUAGUUUUCCGUAACGCAAUUUUGUAUCUUUUUAGAUAUUAAAAAGACAUUUAGUCAUGUAUCCUGACAUUUUUUUAUCUUGUGCCGAACUAAUUGCACCUAAGAUUUUUAAAAUAGUAAAUGACUUAUAUGUGUAAUAGGAAGAAUUGCUUCAAUGAAAUGAAUGUAAACCUUGA